CAUGCUUCCAAUAGCGAGGAGCCCAUCCCCAUCAAGCUUAAACAGCGGCCACCUAUUCGCCUCGUCUCACCAUCCUCCCGUUGUCAUCGCCUCCUCCUAAACCACUCUCCAUGUCCUCAUUUCCUGAAGCUACCCCACCGGCUCCAACGGCGGCGAAGGAACCGAUGCGUGUGCUCGUCACCGGCAUCGUAGGUUGACAUUCAGCACAAGUUAUAUGUGGCUCAUCCUGAUGAGAAACUAGCUCGCUGUCGCCAGAUUUAGAUGAUGAAGCAUCUGAACAUUGAUGUAACUAGUGGGUCAGUGAGGAGCAUCACUCCAGAGGAUAAGUGCGUUUCUACCCGGAGCCAGUGGACUGAUGACAAUGACUUUGACAACCAGCGCAAGAGCACCAUGUCUUCUAGGUCCGUGAUGGAGAUGAUGAUGAGGAGAUGGAAGAUGACCCCAUGGAUGAUCACGUGGAAUCAGAGGAGGAGCCCAAUGACGAGGAGUACUAAUCGUCUAGGAUGUUACCGUCGCUCUUUCCCUUUUUAGUGUCUUGAGGCCAAAGGGGGGAGAGAGAGAUUUUAUUAGGAUAUUCAGGAUUGGCAAGGGUCGGAGUCACAAGCUCGUCUUCUUGUUUGUCAUUGCUCACUUGUGAGCGCCUUCUUAAGUUGAACUUAUUUUCUUUAGGUUGUGAACUUAUUUGGAGACCUUUUUUUAUGUUGCAUGGUGUGAGACAUGUUAUCCCUAUUUAUCUAUCCUUGUCAUGUCGUUAAUUUCAUGUUUAUGGAGUCAUUCUA